rnacentral:rRNA from 1 species
AACGAACGCUGGCGGCAUGCCUAACACAUGCAAGUCGAACGAGACCUUCGGGUCUAGUGGCGCACGGGUGCGUAACGCGUGGGAACCUGCCCUUAGGUUCGGAAUAACUCCCCGGAAGGGGUGCUAAUACCGGAUAAUGUCUUCGGACCAAAGAUUUAUCGCCUUUGGAUGGGGCCGCGUUGGAUUAGCUAGUUGGUAGGGUAAAAGCCUACCAAGGCGACGGUCCAUAGCUGGUCUGAGAGGAUGAUCAGCCACACUGGGACUGAGACACGGCCCAGACUCGUACGAGAAGCAGCAGUGGGGAAUAUUGGACCAUGGGCGAAAGCCUGAUCCAGCAGUGCCGCGUGAGUGAUGAAGGCCUUAGGGUUGUAAAGCACUUUUACCCGGGAUGAUAAUGACAGUACCGGGAGAAUAAGCUCCGGCUAACUCCGUG